rnacentral:lncRNA from 1 species
CCGAAUUUUUUAAAAUUGUUAUUAGCAAAGAGGUUUUGAUUUUUUUACCAAACUGGCAUGCAAAGGUUAUAAGAACAUAUUAUCAACUAUCCAAGCUCCAUACUUACUAAUCACGUUUUAGAAAUCAAGACAACUAAACUCAUCAAGAUCCAAUGUGCCAUUUCAAUAUAACUUAAAAUAUCUUAUAUGCUUAAAAUUCUCGAAGUAUAUGUAUCUUUCCUCCUUUCGGCAUCAUUUAAAACAAGUAAUGCAUAAUCAAUAAUACAUCGAUAAAGGACAAAAAAU